rnacentral:rRNA from 2 species
CAAAGGCUUGGUCCUGACUUUACUAUCAACUUUAGCUAAACUUACACAUGCAAGUAUCCGCACCCCUGUGAGAAUGCCCUACAGUUCCCUGCCCGGGAACAAGGAGCUGGUAUCAGGCACACUAGUGUAGCCCACGACACCUUGCUUAGCCACACCCCCAAGGGAACUCAGCAGUGAUAGACAUUAAGCCAUAAGUGAAAACUUGACUUAGUCAAAGCUAAGAGGGCCGGUAAAACUCGUGCCAGCCACCGCGGUUAUACGAGAGGCCCAAGCUGAUAGACCCCGGCGUAAAGAGUGGUUAAGAUAAACUUAAAACUAAAGCCGAACACCCUCACAGCUGUUAUACGCACCCGAGAGUAAGAAGCCCAACUACGAAAGUGGCUUUACAACCCCUGAACCCACGAAAGCUAUGACACAAACUGGGAUUAGAUACCCCACUAUG